rnacentral:rRNA from 1 species
GAUGAACGCUGGCGGCGUGCCUAAUACAUGCAAGUCGAGCGAAUGGAUUAAGAGCUUGCUCUUAUGAAGUUAGCGGCGGACGGGUGAGUAACACGUGGGUAACCUGCCCAUAAGACUGGGAUAACUCCGGGAAACCGGGGCUAAUACCGGAUAACAUUUUGAACCGCAUGGUUCGAAAUUGAAAGGCGGCUUCGGCUGUCACUUAUGGAUGGACCCGCGUCGCAUUAGCUAGUUGGUGAGGUAACGGCUCACCAAGGCAACGAUGCGUAGCCGAACUGAGAGGGUGAGCGGCCGCACGGGGACUGGGACACGGCCCAGACUCCUACGGGAGGCAGCAGUAGGGAAUCUUCCGCAAUGGACGAAAGUCUGACGGAGCGACGCCGCGUGAGUGAUGAAGGCUUUCGGGUCGUAAAACUCUGUUGUUAGGGAAGAACAAGUGCUAGUUGAAUAAGCUGGCACCUUGACGGUACCUAACCAGAAAGCCACGGCUAACUACGUGCCAGCAGCCGCAGUAA